AUACAUGGCCGAUGCGGGUCAAAGUGUAGUAUCUCUUCUUAUCAGCUUAAUAUCUGAUACGGGUUGUAUUUGGACAUAAGUUGUUAAAAUUAUUUUUGCAAUUUGGCGGAGUGCUUGAAGCCUGCUUCACUUCCGUCGCGGGUCGGCCCGGUAUUGCACCAUCUUCGAGAUCGGCCCAGGGUUC